AUUGAACGCUGGCGGCAUGCUUUACACAUGCAAGUCGAACGGUAACAGGCCGCAAGGUGCUGACGAGUGGCGAACGGGUGAGUAAUGCAUCGGAACGUGCCCAGUCGUGGGGGAUAACUACUCGAAAGAGUAGCUAAUACCGCAUACGAUCUAUGGAUGAAAGCGGGGGACCGUAAGGCCUCGCGCGAUUGGAGCGGCCGAUGUCAGAUUAGGUAGUUGGUGGGGUAAAGGCUCACCAAGCCAACGAUCUGUAGCUGGUCUGAGAGGACGACCAGCCACACUGGGACUGAGACACGGCCCAGACUCCUACGGGAGGCAGCAGUGGGGAAUUUUGGACAAUGGGCACAAGCCUGAUCCAGCAAUGCCGCGUGCAGGAAGAAGGCCUUCGGGUUGUAAACUGCUUUUGUACGGAACGAAACGGCUCUGGUUAAUACCCGGGGCUAAUGACGGUACCGGAAGAAUAAGCACCGGCUAACUACGUG
rnacentral:rRNA from 1 species